CCCCCCUCCUCCAGGGCGACCGCCCAGUGUCGUCAGCUCCCUCCUCAGAGCUUGGAGAUCCGGCGGAGGGUAAUACCCGCGUGCCUAGUGGUGGUUACUUUUCAGCUGUGGAAGAGUAGGAAUUUGUAUCCUAUCAAGCCAAGCCUCUCAAACGGAAAAUCCAUAUGAAGGCACUCAAGUGAAGGAGUGGGUUUAAAUCCAGCAGGUGGAAUGGAAUUGCAACCAGUUGUGAAACUAAGAAUGUCUUCCACUGUUGUUGCAGAUUUACCAUCUGAAAAGUUUCCCAAAACAAGAGAAAAAGAAAGAAAAAUAAAUCCAUGUUAUAUAUUGCUACCA